UGGUAGCUCAGUUGGUAGAGCAAAUGACUCUUAAUCAUUGGGUCGAGGGUUCGAGCCCCUCC
rnacentral:tRNA from 1 species